rnacentral:rRNA from 1 species
UGCGUAGGUGGAUUGCCAAGUCCGUGGUGAAAUCUCUGAGCUUAACUCAGAAACUGCCGUGGAUACUGGUAGUCUUGAAUACCGUGGAGGUCAGUAGAAUAUGUCGUGUAGCGGUGAAAUGCUUAGAUAUGACAUAGAAUACCAAUUGCGAAGGCAGCUGGCUACGCGAAUAUUGACGCUGAGGCACGAAAGCGUGGGGAUCAAACA